rnacentral:rRNA from 1 species
AUUGAACGCGGGCGGCAUGCCUUACACAUGCAAGUCGAACGGUAACAGGUCUUCGGAUGCUGACGAGUGGCGAACGGGUGAGUAAUGCAUCGGAACGUGCCCAGUAGUGGGGGAUAGCCCGGCGAAAGCCGGAUUAAUACCGCAUACGACCUGAGGGGGAAAGGGGGGGAUCGCAAGACCUCUCGCUAUUGGAGCGGCCGAAGUCAGAUUAGCUAGUUGGUGGGGUAAAGGCCUACCAAGUCAACGAUCUGUAGUUGGUCUGAGAGGACGACCAACCACACUGGGACGAAGACACGGCCCAGACUCCUACGGGAGGCAUCAGUAGGGAAUUUUGGACAAUGGGUGCAAGCCUGAUCCAGCAAUGCGUCGUGCAGGAAGAAGGCCUUCGGGUUGUAAACUGCUUUUAUCAGUGAAGAAAUCUUCUGGGUUAAUACCUCUGGAGGAUGACGGUACCUGAAGAAUAAGCACCGGCUAACUACGUGCCAGCCGCCGCCGUAAGAC